rnacentral:tRNA from 1 species
GCCUGGCUGGCUCAGUCGGUUGAGCGUCCGACUUCGGCUCAGGUCAUGAUCUCACAGUUUGUGGGUUCGAGCCCCACAUUGGGCU